GGAUUCGUAGUUACCUUCUAGAUUCCCCUAGCACGCGGGCUGGAGAAGCGGAGUCCUACGCUGGCUUUGUUGCCAAGCUGUGCCCUUAUUCCCCCCCCUCCCCCAUUCCGAGCUUACCCAGUUUACUCUUGGAAGGAUCCCAGAACUCUGAUCAGAGCCCAUCAGGCCUUUAGAAUCAAGAAUUUUGGGAAACGUAGGGCUGAAGUCGCCUCUUUUUCUCCCUUUAAGCUGUGAGCAUCUCACACCAUGGCAGUUCCUGAGACCCGUCCCAACCACACUAUUUAUAUCAACAAUCUCAAUGAGAAGAUCAAGAAGGAUGAGCUCAAGAAGUCCCUGUAUGCCAUCUUCUCCCAGUUUGGCCAGAUCCUGGAUAUUCUGGUGUCUCGGAGCCUGAAGAUGAGGGGCCAGGCCUUUGUCAUCUUCAAGGAGGUCAGCAGUGCCACUAAUGCCCUGCGUUCCAUGCAGGGGUUCCCCUUCUACGACAAGCCCAUGCGCAUCCAGUAUGCUAAGACUGACUCGGACAUCAUUGCCAAGAUGAAGGGCACCUUUGUGGAGAGGGACCGCAAACGAGAAAAGAGGAAGCCCAAAAGUCAGGAGACACCAGCUGCCAAAAAAGCUGUUCAGGGUGGGGCAGCUGCCCCCGUGGUGGGCGCUGUUCAGCCUGUACCGGGUAUGCCACCGAUGACUCAGGCUCCCCGCAUCAUGCACCACAUGCCAGGUCAGCCUCCUUACAUGCCACCACCUGGCAUGAUCCCGCCACCGGGCCUUGCUCCUGGCCAGAUCCCGCCUGGGGCCAUGCCCCCGCAGCAGCUCAUGCCUGGACAGAUGCCGCCUGCCCAGCCUCUCUCCGAGAAUCCACCCAAUCACAUCCUGUUCCUAACCAACCUGCCUGAGGAGACCAACGAGCUCAUGCUGUCCAUGCUUUUCAACCAGUUCCCUGGUUUCAAGGAGGUGCGUCUGGUCCCCGGGCGGCAUGACAUUGCCUUUGUGGAGUUUGACAACGAAGUGCAGGCUGGGGCAGCACGAGAUGCCCUGCAAGGCUUUAAGAUCACGCAGAACAAUGCCAUGAAGAUCUCUUUUGCCAAGAAGUAGCGCCUUCCCCCAUGGGGCGUCCCGGUCCCCAUUCUGGGGCUGCCCCUUACCCCCCACCCCCUUGGCUCAGUCCCUGAAGGGCCCAGCGGGGCUGAUCGUGACAUGCCCAAGCUGGCUGAGUGGAAGCUGUGUGCGGAUGAGGAAUGCAGCCGUAAGAGUCAGGGAAGAAGGGCAAGGGGCUGAGGGCUUGGACUGCUGGUCUGUGUUGAUGUUGCUGUCAUUCCCGUCUCCUUCUCCAGAUCCUAUCUCCAUGGCUGUGGCCCUUCAGGACUACGUGGCUCCUGAUUGCCGCUUCUUGAAUGUGUACAGGGGCCAAGUGGUGUAUGUCUUCUCCAAGCUGAAGGGCCGUGGACGGCUCUUCUGGGGAGGCAGUGUGAGUCUUCAGUAUUAGAGGGAAGGGUAUGGAGUACCCUGUUUUCCCUCUGAAGGGAAAAUUUGGGUGAGGGGGGGCACAGAUUUGGGGGGUAAGGAUAUUUUAUCACUUAUUGCAUUUUUACUUUAGCAAUUACAGGGCAGCUUGGUUCCAAGCUCUUUUCCAGACCUCAGCUAUAUCAGUGAACAACCCCUUUCAUUUCUAAUGGGUGGAGACAGGCAACCAGCUUACCAUCAGAAGUGCCAGCAAACAUGCCAUUGUGAGGAUUAGUUAUGGUGGCUACAUUCUGGCCACAAGCAAGUGACGUUAAGCUGAGGUUCAAAUGAGAGAUUGUGCACUGGAGUUCAGCAGGCACGAGUGCCCUUUUUUUCCCAGAUGGACUUACAAGUUCUUCUCCAGGUUCAGGGAGAUUACUAUGGAGAUGCGGCUGCCCGCCUGGGCUACUUCCCCAGUAGCAUUGUUCGGGAGGACCUGAUUCUGAAACCUGCCAAAAUUGAUAUGAAGACAGCUAGUGUGUACCCAGGCUGGCUUCAAAAUUACUAACCUUCAGCUCCAGCCUCCUGAGGGCUGCUUCGUUUUCAGGCAUGUGCAACUAGGCCCUGCUCAAUGCCGAGUGAUUUCUAAUUGGGAAAUGCAGAGGUUACAGGGCUGGAAGAUAAUUUAUUCAUUUCUGUGAGGUCAAACCUGGUCCUUUCACCGGUUUCCUAUCUACUGUUUUUUCCCUUUUCUCUUUUUCAGAAAUGGGAUUUCUACUGCCAGUGAGCUCAGCCUACUGUUGUCCCUGCGGUUUACCUUCCCAGCUUUAUACAAAUAGAACAGCCAACUGCAAA